GCCUGAGUGGCUCAGUCGGUUGAGCGUCCGACUUCCGCUUGGGUCAUGAUCUCGCGGUCCGUGAGUUCGAGCCCUGCGUCAGGCU
rnacentral:tRNA from 1 species